AUUUGAAAAAAUAUGAAACAUGACUUAUACCCACAAGUUUCAAAAAUUAUCACAAAUACUCAAUAGUACCAAACAAACAAACUUGCUAUCUUGUAUAUACAUAACCUUCAUUACUCAGAUUACACAUAGGAAGUCAUUACUCAUAUUACACAUAGGAAGUCAUUACUCAGAUUACAAUCAUGCCUACACCACGACGUACAACUAAAAUAAUUAGUAUCAGCGUUUCAUGCAUUAGAGUACAACAUAAAAAAAUGAAAAUAACAGUUAGCUCAAUUUUUCUUUAAGUCGUUAAACUAUUCGACUUGAUUUUUUUCGGUCAUAUGAACGAAUAUCUUGCGAAAGCUGGGGUUAAGCAAGAAAGGCACUGCUGGUGAAAAUUUUUCGUCAGCUAAACCAUGUUUUUGCAAGACAAAUUGCAAGUGGGUAGUCACAGCUUCCUCAGAGUAGAUAUCAAUCUCAGUUUCUUUCGAGAGCAGAUACAAAGAAAGAAGCAUGAACAAGAGCAGAAAUUGAGCUUGACAGAGACAAAUUAUCUGAAAACAUAAGAAGCCUACUACCGUACGCAUAUUCUUAUGAGUCAAGACGACGAAAAUUUGAAUAUACAGAACAGACUUUCUUAGGUGUCUACAGUACAUGUGAAGCAAAGCUUAAUGAGCCUCUAUCGAUUAAGACUUUGUGUUGCAAGAUAAGACACGGGUGUAACUCUUUAGCUGAUGAGAAGAAGAUUUUUCGGGAGAUAACUGCAGCAAUAGAUACAAGAGAAGACGUUGAAAGUGCUAAAGAGACCAAAUUGGUUCACAAUAAGGUUCUCUUCAAUCAAACACAUCCCAUCAAAAUGACCUCCAAUGCCAAUGUGGAGAGGCUUAAACAGAAAAUGCAAGUCAUUACAAAAGACAUUAGAUCUAUCGAGAAGCGUUUAAAUAGAAUAAACCAAAAGAAAGACCAAAUUUAUGCACAAAUUCUUACACUCCAGAAAGCAACAUGAUUUUUGUGAUUGCUUUACCGACUACUUAAUAUUUUUUACAUCAGAAAUCACUCACUUUAUUACAAAUUUUGACCUGCGGUAAUCCAAGACAUCAACAGGUUCCCGCAGGAUUUCUUUA